UACGGAGGGUGCAAGCGUUAUCCGGAUUUAUUGGGUUUAAAGGGUGCGUAGGCGGUUAUUUAAGUCAGUGGUGAAAGUUUUCGGCUCAACCGGAAAAUUGCCAUUGAUACUGGGUAGCUAGAAUAUGGUUGCUGUGAGUAGAAUGUGUGGUGUAGCGGUGAAAUGCAUAGAUAUCACACAGAAUACCGAUUGCGAAGGCAUCUCACAAAGCCAUCAUUGACGCUGAGGCACGAAAGUGUGGGGAUCAAACAGGAUUAGA
rnacentral:rRNA from 1 species